UGGUCGAUGGGUAACCCCACUGGUGAUUGAGCAGAAGUCAGCAGAGGGCAUAGUAGCCGAAUGCCCAUCGUAAUGGGUGGGACAUGGUGAAGGCC
rfam:Marinobacter sp. BSs20148, complete genome.